AACGAACGCUGGCGGCAUGCCUAACACAUGCAAGUCGAACGAGACCUUCGGGUCUAGUGGCGCACGGGUGCGUAACGCGUGGGAACCUGCCCUUAGGUUCGGAAUAACUCCCCGAAAGGGGUGCUAAUACCGGAUAAUGUCUUCGGACCAAAGAUUUAUCGCCUUUGGAUGGGCCCGCGUUGGAUUAGCUAGUUGGUGAGGUAAAAGCUCACCAAGGCGACGAUCCAUAGCUGGUCUGAGAGGAUGAUCAGCCACACUGGGACUGAGACACGGCCCAGACUCCUACGGGAGGCAGCAGUGGGGAAUAUUGGACAAUGGGCGAAAGCCUGAUCCAGCAAUGCCGCGUGAGUGAUGAAGGCCUUAGGGUUGUAAAGCUCUUUUACCCGGGAUGAUAAUGACAGUACCGGGAGAAUAAGCUCCGGCUAACUCCGUGCCAGCAGCCGCGGUAAUACGGAGGGAGCUAGCGUUGUU
rnacentral:rRNA from 1 species